GCGUGCAAGGAGCCAAGCAUG
rnacentral:miRNA from 5 species